AAUGGCCAGGAUACAAACUACAGCAAUGGAAGAAAUAGGAAAGGAAUGAGUAUAUUUAAUAUAAGUUGCAGGCAAACCAAGAACACAUAGUGGUCAAUCAAAUUGGGGAGAUAGAUAAGUCUUGGAUUAGAUAAAGCAGCCAAGAGUGAUGUCUAGCCUGGAUGAUUUGGCAUUGCCAACCAAAAUAGUCCAUAACAAAGAAAAGUAGCUGAAUUUGGCCUUGGACACACCAAGUUCUAGAUGCCUGUGUAACAUCCAGGUAGAAGUCUGGCCUGCUUGUAAGGUACAACAUUCUUGUUUCUAGAAGCCCCAUUACAUACCACAGCAAAGCUCUUAAAAUCAACCCACGGUCCCCAUUAAAUAUAACUUUACUCCUAGAGAUGCCCCCCAUUGAUUGCCAUUCUUACUCCCAGUCCUCUCCCAUACCCCCCCCCUCAACACCUGAUCCCAUCCCCAUUCCCCUCCUUACCCCCUCCCACUCAGUUCCCUCCCUCUGUUUAUCUCCAAUGACGAUUUUUCUUUCUCCUUCUGAGUGAGAUUCAGGCAUAUCUAUGGGGGCCAGCUCUGGGAGUAGCUAGAGACUUGGGACAGGGGAAGUUCCAGGGAAUCUAUGGGGGUGACCCUAGUUGAGACUCCUACCAACAGGAGAGAUAUAGAGACUGAAAUGGCCACCUCCUGUAACCAGGUAGGAAUUCCAGAAGAGGAAAAGGAACAUCAAACCACCCACAAAACCUUCAACCUGAAAUUUUUCCUGCCUACAGGAUGUACAGGGAUAAGGAAGGAGCAGAGACUGAGGGGGCAGCUAACCAAUGACCGGCCUGACUUGGAACACUUCCCAUUCAUUCUCUGAGAGUGCUGAUACAGUGAACU
rnacentral:lncRNA from 1 species